rnacentral:tRNA from 1 species
UUCAUAAGUAUAUAUUUUAUAUUAAGUUUAGAACUUAAAGAAAUAAAUGAAA